rnacentral:rRNA from 1 species
AAAUUGAAGGGUUUGAUCCUGGCUCAGAAUGAACGUUGGCGGCGUGGAUUAGGCAUGCAAGUCGCGCGAGAAGUGUUUAGUGCUUGCAUUGAACACGGACAGCGGCGAAAGGGAGAGUAACGAGUGGUUACAUGCCCAGGGGUCCAGGAUAGCGUCGGGAAACUGGCGGUAAUACUGGAUGAUAUCUAAGGAUCAAAGGUGAGAUUCCGCCCCUGGAUUGGACCGCUUACUAUUAGCUUGUUGGUGAGGUAAUGGCUCACCAAGGCCGUGAUGGUUACCGGGUGUGAGAGCAUGGCCCGGCUCACUGGGACUGAGACACUGCCCAGACACCUACGGGUGGCUGCAGUCGAGAAUCUUCGGCAAUGGACGCAAGUCUGACCGAGCGACGCCGCGUGCGGGAUGAAGGCCCUCGGGUUGUAAACCGCUGUCAGUUGGGAGGAAAGGAGUGUGCAGAGCACUCCCUGACCGAUCUUCAGAGGAAGGGCGGGCUAAGUUCGUGCCAGCAGCCGCGGUAAGACGAACCGCCCAAACGUUAUUCGGUAUCACUGGGCUUAAAGCGUGCGUAGGCGGCCUAGUAGGUGAGAUGUGAAAGCCCACGGCUCAACCGUGGA